ensembl:lncRNA
GUCACAGACACAGGAUGGGCAGUACAGUUCAGUCAGCAAGGGGAUCUGUUAAGGCUGAGGAACAUCUAUGCAUGAAUCAUUUGGGGUCAGAGCUUGUUCAAGAAACUCUUACUGCUUAGCAUCUCCUCAACUAGUCUGACUCACUUGGCAUUGUGACUGUAUGCAAGAAGAGACCUGUGGAAUGGUUUUUUAGCCAGUUUCCUGAAGUACCUUGUUUGUUUUUGAUUGGACUAUUUCCCUUACUUGUAUGGCACAACUGAAUGAGCAUAGCCAAGAGACCAGUCCCACUGCUGAGGAGUGACUGUGGGGGAAGAGGCGAGGAGAGUGCUGACUUGGCCUGGGCACUCCAGCAACAUGAAGUGUUGCAACAUGAAGUGUAAGGGCAUAAUAUCUGACCAGGAAGAUCAGUUGGUUAUCCUACGUACAGAAUGAGUUCGCAUCUUGUGUCAUGGUUUUAUGAUUUUUGGUCAUCAGUAUUCCACAUCACAACAUCAUGCAGUGUACUGGGAGUUAAAGAGCAAAUGCUUUAGUUCCGGGUACCUGUCUGGAAGAGAAGAAGAACUACGUUCCGCAAGAGCCUUUUUGAGUACUGUUAUCAUUCCUGCUCAGGGGAACAGAUAUAAGGACGCAGGUCAUCUGACUCGUCCCUCUUCUUGUCUUGCCAUGUUCCCUGCCAGAUCAGCUCGCUACUGCUGCUCCCGACUGCACGCAAGG